rnacentral:lncRNA from 1 species
AUUGAAUAUUAAAUUUAUUGUUUAUUAUAUAUAUGUAUAAUUUUGGUUAUUAUUUAUUUAAUUAAGGUUUUAAAUUUUUAUUCUUUAAUUUUUUUUUAUUAUUUUUUUAUUAUAUGUGAUGAAGAAGGGGAAGGAAAAUGAGAAUUGUGGGAACAACACCUUGUAUAUGAGAAUUUCAAACCAUUGUACUAGAUCCACAGGAAUUCUAUUUCAAAUAAAAGUUGUCAAGAGUCUUUGGAAUUCUAUAAAAGUCUAUAAAAAUUUUAAAAUAAAAGUUAAUAGAAGUCUAUGACUUUUACUAAUUCCAUAUAAAUCUAUAAAAGAUCCAAGAAAUCCAUAGAAGUCAUCACUUAAAAAAGUCUUAUCAAAGUCUUCAAAAGUCCUAAUUGAAUAUACCCUCCCCGAAGGUGUUCUUAUAUUUUUCAUUUUAGACAACAUUUCAUAUUCCAUUUACUUUACCUUUAUUCUGCGGGUCAUAAAAUGUUUUUACAUUUUUAUGGACAAUUAUCCAAUCUAGUAUUAACAAAAAACUAUCCAAACCAAUAAAACUAAACUUUUAUGAUAGUUAGAUGAAACGUGAUAAAUAUGAUAUUAUAAAUUGAAGGAUCCAUGCCAUUGAAAAUCUGUGUGUGUGUGAGGGGUGUGAGAGAGAGCCCUGUACUCAUAAUCACAAGUUGAAAUAGUUCCAAGUGUAGUCCUUUUACUUCCUAAUUUCAUUGACAUUUAUUACUUUGUAGGCUACCUUUACUGCAACUACUCUGGCCUUGUUAUGGUUACCUAGUGAAUCGUCAAGAUAAGAGGAAAAUGGAGGAACUUAACUACAUAGCUUGUACUUGCCUUAAACCCUGGCAGACUGCUUAAGAUUUUGUUGAUUCAACUCACUGUAUGACAGAUAUAUAUAAUGUGUUGCGGUAUAGAGCUACCUUGUUUCUUUUUCAGUUGUUCAGAAGCUAAAUGCCACAUUGUUUGACAUAGUAGCGUGUGUAUGUGUUUCUUAUUUAAGUUAAACCAAGUGAUUUGGAUGGAACUGUGUUGGUAGGAUUUCAGUAAGUUUGGCAGUAUUUUUGCUGGACUUAAAUGAUCGUCAAUUCAUCAUGGGCAUCGAGGUGUACUUCAUCCAGGUUGCAUUAUCUUAUACUUUUUUUUUUUUAAUAAUCAUUUGAUUGAAUGGACUAACAAUGACCAGUAUAAGACCAGCGAUAUAUGAACCGUUUUGUUUGGGAGGAUUGCUUGUCACUCUGCAAUUAUUUUCCUAAAGUUUCCAACAGAUUGUCACCGACUUGGCAUUGUGAAAUAUUAAAUUUAUAUUAGCUUAAAAUAAUGUCUCAUUUUUGGACUAUUUUGACCAAAGUAGUGAAAUACGUCCAUUUAUACUCGACAUUGGUCUUUUUGUUUGGAGUUAUGGUGGAGGCUAUAUUGGGCUCUAGUGGAGUUUAGCUUGCAUCUUAUGGUGAGUCAUUCUUCUCAAAUUAUUUUGGGCUAUGGUGUUAGAAAAGGAGGAAAAAUCUAAUAGUGGUUUUAUAGUUGUCAUUCCUUUAGUGCUUUGACAGCAAGACAAGAACUUUUCUGCAACGAUCUUCCGCCUACUGCUCAUGGGAUUGGUGGUUUUUAUGUUAUCUUUAUGUUUUUAUUGGAGUUCAAUUCUUGUUUUUUGCUUAUGUAUAGAAUCUCUCGUCCUCAAAUGAUAUGCGUUCUUAGGAGAAUUCUAGAAGCAAAAGGUGUAAUUUAGAAUUUGUCAUGUCUAUGAGAGCGGUCCCCUUGCGAAUUUUCUUUCAUGCAUUCAUGAGAAUGUUACUUCAUUGCCUUUAUCAAUAAAAACACGAAGCUGAAAAUUGCCUUCUGUUUUAAGCUUUUCAGAGUCCUAACUAUGUCCCUCCCCUCCUCCCCUCCUCCCACUUUUCCUUCCCUCCUUCUAGGCUUGACAGUUCAGUUUUAUUGUUUUUGUACAUUUAGCUAAGUCGUGGGUAUUAUACAAAUUUGUUGAAUGUAGGUUUUGCGGUAACUUGAGUUAUCAAAUUUUAUUCACCGUCCUGUGCUUUUUUAUAUGCAUAUUAGGGGCUAUGCUGAGUUUGUUAGAAUUAUUCCGAUGUCCUGAAGUACUGAAUUGCUAGUGGAGUUGGAGAUUCCUUGAAAUUUAGGAAGUGAUUAUUAAUUGGUUCUUUGCAGAGCCUUUGAAGUCCUAAUUGCAUUGUUUUAUGCUGUCUAAUCGAAGAAUUGAUGCCCAAGGGAUUUGGCAGUGUAUUUUAGUUAGUUCUUGACUUUCAGAAAGUUAGACCAGCACUAAGCUUUUGAAAAUAGUUUCUUUGAUUGAGUCUUAGCCUGUGCAAUUCUUUUUCCAUGCGAUGAGCCAUCUGAAUUGAAUCCCAUUAUUAUUAUUUUUUUUAAUUUUUAUUUAUUAUUUUUUUUCUUCAGUAACAGGAAUGGUUAGAACUUGAAUUUUUCAUCGAAGCUUGUGGGAGAAGAUCUCCACACUGUGUCCUCCAACAUUUAUGUUAAAAACUUCUUUUGCCUGUAAUUGCAUUUUGAGGACAUCAGGUUCCCAUUUAACCUAGAUGACAACAGGCUACAUAGUACAAUGUCAUUGUCGUGGCAAAAAUUGAAUCAGAAGUUUCGUGUGUGCAUGCUCAUCUUCAAUCUUUUAUGUCUUCUCAGAUCUGAUUUUGUUCUAUUAAUAGUUGGAUUCACAAUGCUAAUGGAUCUUUUCAUCAUAUUGUGCUAUCCAAAUAAUCCAUGUCGGAACCUAGGAACUCACUGUAACUGGUUUUUGGUGGAGAUGAUGGAUCUUGUAGGAUUCUGAAAACGAUUUUUCAUUUUCUUCCGGAAGCAUAUGAUUAAGCAUUCAUUCCUCACAUUCUGUGAUUAUGAAGAAGGAAAAUGCCCAAUGUACAGGGCAUUUUCUCACAGAGCUUUUACAGGAAAGACACAUGGGGGUGGGCCCCAUGUGAAUAUUUUAUUGAGGUGUGUGUAUUCUCUGAAGUACCUGUAUGUUUUUCCUCUGUAAGUGUAGCACAAUUCUAUGAAGAAAUUGCAGAUCUAUUCACUUUAUCAUUUACAGAAGAUGGAUAUGGUUUAUUUUAUGGGGUUUUCCUGUUCUGUUGAUUCCUUGGAACUAGUUGGACGUAAUAAUUCACUUGUUGCACCAUUCGUGUUUUACAAUUGGUUGCUGCUGCACGAAUUGGUGUUUCUUCAAUCUUAUUGAUUAGAGAAAACUAUUGCAUUUCAUUCUCCUGACGUUUAUAUUUCAAACUAUGCCAUAUACUCUAUAUACAUGGCCCGCAGACAUAAAAUGAGUUCCACUGUAGAAUGCAUCACGCUGGGAAUAGUACUUUGACACAGGAUAAGUGUCAUGAAUUGUUGUGGACUGCUUGGUGAAGAAAACCUGUUUAAAUUGGUAUAAUAAGAGAGUAUAGGAAAACUUACGACUGUCAAAUGUUGUAAGUUCUCUUUCACGGCGUUCAUUUUGGGUUCCUUGUAUUUGCCUUUCUAAAAUUGCCUGUCCUCUCAUUGAGCGUAUAAGGAGAGGUUAUUUUUCUGGAGUUUUGCAUUACUAUCUGGUCCAGAGUUUCUCUGUCUAAUACUUAUGUGAAGUAUGAGAGUAUGAAUCACAAUAAUCAAGUAAGUUUAUGUUAAAAUAUGAAUCCAUGCAUGGGAGGGAGAAGGGACAACAUAUCUAAUAAUAUGAUGACACAGAUUUUAUCUGCUGGUUGUUCAUGACUAAACAUUAUGUCUUGAUUUAAGAAGUAUAUUUCUGUUUAAAUGCUCCAUCUGACCAUUGUAUAAUCUCUAAUUGUCGUCAGAUUAAGUGCAGGAAAUAAACAUACCAAUUAUGUAUCUAUUGAUGGCUUUCCCCUGCCUUUUGUUGUGUUUUUCCUAUUUAGUAUGUCGUCGAAUCAACUUCACCAAACAUGUCAUAGUUACGUCCUUCGUUCAUUGUUUCACCUGCCUCUUAUUUGGCUUUUCAUACAGAUAAAACGGAGACUACAGAAGACAGAUUCAUGUGCAAGCAACCUGCAUGAACCCUUACCUUAGCACGGCAUUGAGGAUGUCUGCUGAGAAACUGAAAGAAUUAGAGGAAAGAAAAUUUCUUUUUGUCAAUGUUCGGCUAAAAGCUUUAAAAGAAAGGUAAAAGUGACUUUCAUUUUCGAAUGUGUUUGAAUUAAAAGUGGCCCGUGUUCAAGGAAGGCCCAAAAUNNNNNNNNNNNNNNNNNNNNNNNNNNNNNNNNNNNNNNNNNNNNNNNNNNNNNNNNNNNNNNNNNNNNNNNNNNNNNNNNNNNNNNNNNNNNUAUUAUUAUUAUUAUUAUUAUUAUUAUUAUUAUUAUUAUUAUCAUUAUCAUCAACUUAUCAAAAAAGCAAUUCUCGAAAGCAUGCAAUUUAUAUUUGUCUCUGCAGUUCUAAAUUUCCAGAAAAUCAAAUCACCAUUUAUGAGCCCUUUCGUGCAUUCUCAUGGAGAACAAAUAAAGUGAUUUAAUCUACUAUAUUUUCUUGUAUCAAGUUCAAGACCAAAUCUGCUCUUAUAAAGAGGAAAACAAAAUUCAUUUUUGCAUUACCUAAUUGCGUUAAAGUUGUUCUAAAAAUAUAAAAUUUUCUCGUUUUUGUAUACAAUUGUAUUGGCUAAAAAUCAAGUUCUUCAAUCUCUGUAAGAGAACUGUUUUAUUUUAUUAUUAUUAUUAUUUUUAUUUGUUUUGACGUUUGACAGCUUUAUUCCGGAAUCUUGAUGACUUCACUGUUAAAUGCUUAUGAUAAGUGUUUUUUUUUUUUUUGGGUUGAUUUGUUUUUGUUCAUUUGAAUUUCAUGAUUAUUCUUUAAAAGUUCUUAUGUUGAUUUUAUGAGAUUUAAAAUAAAAUUUGCUGAUUUUAUCAUUUGAACUUCGUUUUCUAAAUGCAGAUCAAGUUCAUCAAAAUGAUGUAUGUUCAAGAUCCUUUUACAUGUAGUCGUCGUGAUCUUAAUUUAACAGUUUGUAACGUUUGAAAAGUCUCACAUAGAUCGCUAUAAUAUCGCUUGAAAGUUCGCAGGACGUAGUGAUCAUCAAUUCAAAUUUUAGUGUUACCAAGUUUACGUUUUAGUCAAUUUAAUACUUUGACCAUACGUGUGGAAUUGUACUAAUCAAAGCAACCCAUCAAUUUAAUUAAGUUUUAGAUAUUUAAACAUACAAUCCAAUUUAAACUUAUGUUUAAAUGCCACAAUUUGUAUAAAUUGGAAAGCAAUAAAUAACACAAUAUGAUGACAGAAAAACCCAACGUAGGAAAAAUUUCAAGGCCAAGCCAGUUACCUCCAUAAUCCAUUAUAGACAGUUUAGAAAAUACAUAGCAAUUUCAAAUUUUGUACCCACUAAGACCUGUUGUCAUAGUCUCACAAUCUACUGUCGUAGAUGCUAGACCUCCUAAUUUACCUCUUGCAGUCUUCUGCUACCGUAGAUACCUUUAGCUUCCUGCUAGACCUUGUGAUCUACCUCCUAUAACCCAAUUAGCUAUCUCCUACAGCCUUCUAGUCUACGCUGAAUGUUUCUCGAAGUGGAAGACCAAGAAUCGCACGUUCUUGUGCUGGUAAUUGAGCUUCAAUCCACCUCUCCCAAUCUCCAAUGAGAGAGUCCGUCCUCAAAAGAUUAAGGAAGCACAAUGUAUUGGAUUAUUGGACCUUUGAUGUUUUCCAAAGCUUAGGUUGUCGGAUCACAAGAUUAAUGUGGAUGUUUCCGUUGAUGAAUUGCGUUCUUGGAUCGCAAAGAAGAUAUGAAAGUGUUUAUGUUUUGAAGCACAAUGACCAACCUCCUCGAAUUCACGUCCCAGAAAAAGUAUUUAUACUUGGGGGCAAAUAGGUGUCAUGGGCCAUUUAAAACUCUUAAAAUCGCAACCUAUGGACAUCGCUUGAGUGAUGUGUCAAUGAAAAGCGAGCGACAUGUCUUUCGCUCGAGUGAAACGAGGGGAAAAAUCCAGCGAUGGACAAUUUGUUAUUUUUGCUUGAGCACUGGCUUGGCUAGCAGCUAGCGAGAUUCUAGCAGAUUUCUUCCCUUUUCAAAAUUCGAACCCUAGCCUACCAACUAUACAUAAUUUCAUCCUAAGUCCUUGACUUUUACAACAAUGUUCAAUUAAGCUACUUGUGUUCACAGAAUCGCCAAUUACAAUAUAAAACCUAAUGGUUAGCAUUAAGUCAUUGUAUAGGAUUAUACAAAGUGUAUAUUUAUUAUUAUCGUCUUCACUCAAAACGACGUGAAAAUAUUGAAAGACAACAUAAUUGUCAAAUUGUUGUCACAAACUCGUCAAAGAAAAGGCUUUAAGAUUUAGAGAGUAAAUUAUAUUUUGUUGAGCUGAGUUAAACAUUUAUAAACUCAAUCUAUAUAAAUUCUCUUAAUUAUUCUUCAAAAGAUGCACAAAAUUUUCAUUUAAGAAUAUGUUAUUUGUAUACAAUGCGGUGUCUAUAUCGAUUUUCAUCCCCCUUACACGGCCCAUUCGUUUAAGGCUCCCAAGUUCAUUCAUCUUUUGGUUGAAUGCAUCUUUUUGUUACUCAAGUGAAACAAGUCCCUCAACUUAAAAAUGGUUUGGUGGACGCGUUUAGUCUAUAAAUCAAAUUAGAUUAAAAUUAAAAUUAAAAUUUUUAGUUGAUUUUGAUUAAAAAAAUUGAUGAAAUGUGUGAUUGAAAAGUUAUAAAUCUCAAAAACUAUGUGAUUACAACAAAUUGUGAACUUUGACUUAUAAUUUUUAAUCGAUAUGAAACAGGGCAAACAAGGGCUAAGUGAUGGAUGUUGGCAGCUGUUCUCUCUUGACGCGGCUGGUCAGCUUGGGACGCG